AAUUUGUUUCAUUUGUUGCUGUUUCAGAUACAAUUGAUUCUUAACUGAGAACUCCUGUUUGUCUCUUGAGCAACAUUUGAGCAAUAGGACUGUCCUCCAGGACCCUAAACCCUUCUGUUCAAAUUUGUGCCUAAUAACCUCGCUGGACCCCACGGCUAUCCUCCUGGCAUGGAUCGCUGGACAUUUCAGAAGAGCAAGGAAUAUUAGGACUGGAGAAUUACAGUCCUUCUUUGGAGUUUGUGAGGCUUAUGGAUUCCACCUCACGCCAGACUGCACUUUAUUUUGCAAGAAUUUGAUGCGGUCUGUUUGCCCCAUCCUUGUUUCAUGUGGCAGCAACCCUUUACACUUCCUUCCCCACAUACUGUAAAGCAAAUUACUUAAUUUAGUGAUAUGAGAAACAUCAGACAGAGACAAAAGCCAAAUGGAGGACGUCAUAGGAAAUGGGUUUUAAUAAAACAUCCUUCAAAGGCA
ensembl:lncRNA